CCUGCUUCCCCAGCAGCACCAGAUCCGCCCGGUGUUUCCUGGCCAGCUCCGCCAGCACGGCCGCCACCUCCCUGGGCCCCACGUGGAGCCCUUCCGCCACCUCAGCCAACACGGCCCGGUCCGCCCCCAUGGCCAGGGCCGUCCUCAGCGUCUCCUGACACCUCGACGGCCCCACGGCGGCCGCGAUGACUUCGGCCGCCCCCCCCUUCUCGCGCAGCCUCACCGCCUCCUCCAGGGCGAUCUCGCAGAAGGGGUUCAUGGAGUGCUUCACCCCUUCCGUUUGAACCCCCUGACCGCCCGGCAGCACCCGCACCUUGACGGCGAAGUCGAUGACCCGCUUCACCCCCACCAGCACCCGCAGGGCCGCCAUGGCCGCCUCUGCC
rnacentral:lncRNA from 1 species